rnacentral:rRNA from 1 species
UACGUAGGGUGCGAGCGUUACUCGGAAUUACUGGGCGUAAAGUGUGCGCAGGUGGCUUCGCAAGUCGAGUGUGAAAUCCCCGGGCUUAACCUGGGAAUUGCGCUCGAAACUACGGAGCUGGAGUGUGGCAGAGGAAGGUGGAAUUCCACGUGUAGCGGUGAAAUGCGUAGAGAUGUGGAGGAACACCAAUGGCGAAGGCAGCCUUCUGGGCCAACACUGACACUCAUGCACGAAAGCGUGGGGAGCAAACAGG